rnacentral:rRNA from 1 species
UACGUAGGGUGCAAGCGUUGUCCGGAAUUAUUGGGCGUAAAGAGCUCGUAGGCGGUCUGUCGCGUCGGCUGUGAAAUCCCGAGGCUCAACCUCGGGUCUGCAGUCGAUACGGGCAAACUAGAGUAUUGCAGGGGAGACUGGAAUUCCAGGUGUAGCGGUGAAAUGCGUAGAUAUCAAGAGGAAUACCUGAGGUGAAGGCGGGUUGCUAGGCCGACACUGACGCUGAAGCGCGAAAGCCAGGGGAGCAAACGGG